AAGUGUUCAGGAAUGACUGCCUGCCUACACCACAAGGAAAUGCCAAGUAGUUAGCAAAUUUCAACAAGCAUGAAGCAAAGGCCAGUAGGAAAUUUUGCGAACAUGAAACUUAAGUGGAAGAGAGAUACUAGACGAUAAGUAUGAUACAGUAGAGCACAAACUGUACGUCUGCAUGUCAAUGACUUAAUUGUUUGCUCUUUAGUACCAAUAAAUGCAACAUGAAGGAUCAGAGAGAUAUAGAAGAGAGAAAGUUCAUGAAACAUAAAAAAAAUAAUAAUAAUAAAAAUAA
rnacentral:misc_RNA from 1 species